UUUCUACGAUUGAAAUGCCUUAUGAAACACAAUGGGGUGAAUGUGCGGCUCAGGUAUGUCCUGAAAGUUACAAUUAGUCGUGGUUAUGUUGACAGCAUUGUGGAAUACCAAGAUUUUGUGAACUAAGAAGCACGGACACGGACAUAGACGCAGAUACAUGACACGACACAGACACGGAUACGUUGACACCUAAGAAGUACAAACACGGAUAC